rnacentral:lncRNA from 1 species
GUCGUGUCUAUCCCAUUGGGUAGGCAGCAUAUCUCUUAAAACACUUUUCGCUCCCUACGAAACUGAGGUGGGAUGCAGCAAUCUCAAUCUUCAGCGGCAUGUGUUUUUGAAGCGCUGCUGUUUGGUGCCGUGAAUCUCGAGGGUAGCGAAAGGUUCAACGAGAGUCGCCACCCAGCCUACACCUUACCAUGUUUUGCUUUAUUCGGUGAUGCCAGCUGAUGUUCUGGAAUACAAAUCUUCGUCUCUGGCUGAGAGAUAGCAUAGCAGACUCCAAAGCCACGACAUUCAAACCACAGAAGUAUCCGAAGGAUUCUAAAAAAACUACCAGGCAUAGGAAGGUACAACAGUACGCGUGCAUUCCUUUUGGUGCCGUAGAACAAUCCUUGUUCAAAAAGGAUUAGGACCACCCCGUACGUGGCAAAAGCAUGCUGAUGCAUGCCAGAUGUCGGAGCAAGCAGUUUUUCAGUUUCGCUCUCCGCCUCAGCCGGUACGAACGACAGUCUGGUCUCGUAGCUACUGCUCGGUUGCGGUAGACACUGACGUCACCCGUGGUUCUAUGCGGGGAAAGGGCGGCACUCCAAUGUAUUUGUCUUCCCAGUUCUCUGCUCGUGCAGUCAAGCAAAGCGCCGUCCGUUGCAGUUUCGUGCAGAUCCCUGUUGUCUAUUGGCACGGCUCGGAUCUGCAUGGAGGGGGGCGGGGCGGAGCCUCAGAAUGGCUGCCGAGUAGAAAUCGGAUGUUCAAAAUGUUGGAAGGGACGCAGAACAACUCGUAUGCUGCUGCCGAAGGUGGCAAGUGCCAUUUACCAGUUUAUCAAAACGAGAGGGGAGGAAGUCUGGCAAUUCAAAUAUGCAUUGCAUUGGGGCAAGAAAAAUCCAGGCCUAACACGUUUUUAUGC